UCCGAGAGAGCAAAGACGAAGUAGCAGCAGCUGGACGGAGUCGGAGCAGCAGCGGUUACGGCGGAGAAAGAGCAGCGGCAGUGGCUAGCACACCAAGAGCGACCAAGAGAGAGAUUUGCUGCAACUGGAUUGAGAAAAUUGAGGGGAAAGAGGGAGCUGCAGUGAACUGGAUUGAGAGUGAGGGCUACAGUGAAGAGAAAAGUGAGGGCUGCAGGGUCAUGAUUUCUUUGUUGUUUUUUAAUUUAUUUUUAGGUUUAGU
rnacentral:lncRNA from 1 species